UACGUAGGUGGCAAGCGUUUGUCCGGAUUUAUUGGGUUUAAAGGGUGCGUAGGCGGUCUUAUAAGUCAGUGCUGAAAUAUCCCGGCUUAACCGGGAGGGUGGCAUUGAUACUGUAGGACUUGAGUAGAGUUGAGGUUGGCGGAAUUGACGGUGUAGCGGUGAAAUGCUUAGAUAUCGUCAAGAACACCGAUAGUGAAGACAGCUAACUAAGCUCUAACUGACGCUGAGGCACGAAAAGCGUGGGGGAGCAAACAGG
rnacentral:rRNA from 1 species